GCCGGGUGUGGUGGUGGGCACCUGUAAUCCCAGCUACUCAGGAGGCUGAGGCAGGAGAAUUACUUGAACCCAGGAUACAGAGGUUGCAGUGAGCCGAGAUCGUGCCACUGCACUCCAGCCUGGGCGACAGAGUAAGACUCUGUCUCAA
rnacentral:SRP_RNA from 1 species